UACGGAGGGAGCUAGCGUUGUUCGGAAUUACUGGGCGUAAAGCGCGCGUAGGCGGCUUUGUAAGUUAGAGGUGAAAGCCCGGGGCUCAACCCCGGAACUGCCUUUAAGACUGCAUCGCUUGAAUCCGGGAGAGGUGAGUGGAAUUCCGAGUGUAGAGGUGAAAUUCGUAGAUAUCGGGAGGAACACCAGUGGCGAAGGCGGCGAUCUGGGAAGAUACUGACGCUGAGGUGCGAAAGCGUGGGGAGCAAACAGG
rnacentral:rRNA from 1 species